AGCGAACGCUGGCGGCAGGCCUAACACAUGCAAGUCGAACGGAUCCUUCGGGAUUAGUGGCGGACGGGUGAGGAACACGUGGGAACGUGCCUUUUGGUUCGGAACAACUCAGGGAAACUUGAGCUAAUACCGGAUAAGCCCUUCGGGGGAAAGAUUUAUCGCCAUUAGAGCGGCCCGCGUCUGAUUAGCUAGUUGGUGAGGUAAAGGCUCACCAAGGCAACGAUCAGUAGCUGGUCUGAGAGGAUGAUCAGCCACACUGGGACUGAGACACGGCCCAGACUCCUACGGGGAGGCAGCAGGGUAGGGGAACUUCUUGGCCGACAAGUGGG
rnacentral:rRNA from 1 species